GUGCCAGCAGCCGCGGUAAUACGAAGGGUGCUAGCGUUGUUCGGAAUCACUGGGCGUAAAGCGUGUGUAGGCGGCAAAUCAAGUCAGAGGUGAAAUGCCCAGGCUCAACCUGGGAACUGCCUUUGAAACUGGUUUGCUUGAGUGUCGGAGGGGAUAGCGGAAUUCCUAAUGUAGCGGUGAAAUGCGUAGAUAUUAGGAGGAACACCGGUGGCGAAGGCGGCUAUCUGGACGACAACUGACGCUGAGGCACGAAAGCGUGGGUAUCAAACAGGAUUAGAUACCCUUGUAGUCC
rnacentral:rRNA from 1 species